rnacentral:rRNA from 1 species
GACGAACGCUGGCGGCGUGCUUAACACAUGCAAGUCGAACGGAAAGGCCCUGCUUUUGUGGGGUGCUCGAGUGGCGAACGGGUGAGUAACACGUGAGUAACAUGCCCUUGACUUUGGGAUAACUUCAGGAAACUGGGGCUAAUACCGGAUAGGAGCUCCUGCUGCAUGGGGGGGGUUGGAAAGUUUCGGCGGUUGGGGAUGGACUCGCGGCUUAUCAGCUUGUUGGUGGGGUAGUGGCUUACCAAGGCUUUGACGGGUAGCCGGCCUGAGAGGGUGACCGGCCACAUUGGGCCUGCGAUACGGCCCAGACUCCUACGGGAGGCAGCAGUGGGGAAUAUUGCACAAUGGGCCGACGCCUGAUGCAGCAACGCCGCGUGCGGGAUGACGGCCUUCGGGUUGUAAACCGCUUUCGCCUGUGACGAAGCGUGAGUGACGGUAAUUGGUCAAGAAGCACCGGCUAACUACGUG